rnacentral:rRNA from 1 species
AUGCACAAAGGAGUCAAGUGUUUAGAUGUUCCUGCCAGAGUUUAUAUAUCUCGAGAUGUUGUGUUCGAUGAAUCAGUUUUUCCUUUCGAGUAUCUUCAUCCUAAUGCCGACGCCCUUCUCCGUCAAGAGAUUCUUCUUCUUCCAUCUACACUUCGAGCUUUUGAUCACGGGGGAAACAAUUGCACCAUCCAACAUGAUGAUAAUAUUCCUGCUAGAACCAGUUCUUGUCUUCUGUGUGUGCAGGUACCUGAAGAAAACGAAGUUCAAAACGAUCAAAGUCCCGUCCAAAACGGAGCUAUAUUUCAUGUAGAAGAAGAAGACAAAGCUGACGCAGCGUUCGAGGACGAUUUGGCGGCGCCUGCCACCCCCGCGCGUCAAUCUCCCUCGGAUCAGGCGCGGACAUCCUCUCCGGAUCGCGAGCCGGCCGGCCUGGAGAAACAGGCUCAGGCGAGCCGCUCCGCGACUGCCACGUCCCCACGCGGAGAAUCUUCCUUGACUGGCCCGCGCAUGCAUCCAAUCACUGCGAGGCGCGGCGCGCGCAUGCGGCCAACAGGCCCACCUGGCGCGGUUGGUGAGGGAUCGGCUGUGGCAACAGAUGGUGCGGCCGUGGACGAACAGGCCACACCUGCGGCCACCGGAUCUGAUGUGGAAACACUUGGCACUUCUCCGGGAUUCUUUGCAACCAGCGAGUCCGUGCGCCCGCGUGUACAGCAACAGCCAGCCACAUCCAGAGUUACAACUCGGCUACAAAAAGGUAUUAAGAACCCAAAAAUAAGAACUGAUGGCACUAUAUCGUAUGGUAUGUUGUGCAUUUCAGGAGAGCCAACAAAACUAGAUGAUGCACUUGGAGAUCAAAAGUGGAAAAAGGAUAUGGAUGAGGAGCAUACAACCUUGAUGAAAAACAAAACAUGGCAUUUAGUACCAAACCGGAAAGGUAAAAAUAUCAUUGAUUGUAAGUGGGUGUAUAGGAUCAAGAAAAAGGCAGAUGGCUCCAUUGACAGUUAUAAAGUAUGUCUUGUUGCUAAAGGUUUUAAGCAGCGUUAUGGUAUUGAUUAUAAGGAUAUAUUUAGUCCUGUGGUAAAAGCUGCAACCAUAAGACUUGUGCUAGCUAUUGUUGUGUCUAGGGGAUGA